UUAACUACCCUUGACAUGUCUGGAAUCCCGAAGAGAUUUGGGAGUGCUCGCAAGAGAACCGGAACACAGGUGCUGCAUGGCUGUCGUCAGCUCGUGUCGUGAGAUGUUGGGUUAAGUCCCGCAACGAGCGCAACCCUUGUCAUUAGUUGCUACGAAAGGGCACUCUAAUGAGACUGCCGGUGACAAACCGGAGGAAGGUGGGGAUGACGUCAAGUCCUCAUGGCCCUUAUGGGUAGGGCUUCACACGUCAUACAAUGGUCGGGACAGAGGGUUGCCAAGCCGCGAGGUGGAGCCAAUCCCAGAAACCCGAUCGUAGUCCGGAUUGCAGUCUGCAACUCGACUGCAUGAAGUCGGAAUCGCUAGUAAUCGCGGAUCAGAAUGUCGCGGUGAAUACGUUCCCGGGUCUUGUACACACCGCCCGUCACACCAUGGGAGUGGGUUUCACCAGAAGUAGGUAGCCUAACCGUAAGGAGGGCGCUUACCACGGUGGGAUUCAUGACUGGGGUGAAGUCGUAACAAGGUAAGCGUAGUGCU
rnacentral:rRNA from 1 species